rnacentral:lncRNA from 1 species
AAAAAAUACGACAGCAAUGUAUCAUAGCUGAAUGUAUUGCACGAGCCUUAGCAUUACAGAUUAUCAAAUGUGCAAAAUGGUUACCACACCCAUAAACCACCGAGUACCAAGGUGGAUCACACGUAAACCAGAUGCAUCGUCACCAUAUGUAACCCUAAAUCAUAGAGAGUAAAUGGAAAAUAAGGACUCAGAAUCGCAACAAUAGGAAAUGCGCCCAAAUUCCUAGCAAAAUAGGGGAAAAACCCUCAAUUUCGCAGAAUCCUCACCUUUGGAUCACGGCGCGCGCACAGCCGUCUCGGAGGAGGAGCUCA